AGCAAGGUUUGUAAUUUCUUCUUUCUAGGAUUGGUUCUCUGUAAUUUUUGCUUAUUUUUAAAUUCUCUCUUUGUCUUUUGCUCUGAGAACGAUGUUACCGAUGUGUUUGCUUUCCAUGUUUACUUGCAUUUUAGCCUUUAUUUUUUUAAUUUUGAUUUUAUUUAAAUGUUAUGUAUUUUUUUUCUACUAAUUUUGAGCGUCUCAGCUUCCUGCUUCUUUACUUACAUUCUCUCAGGAUCCGGGGAGCCGAGCUCGGUCUCAGUCUCCCUGCUGUCAGGUGCCAGGUUGUGUCUGGUGGCUCUCCUUCGUAUGCGGAGCUGAUGGUUUUGCAUCAGCGCUUUUGCCAGUAGAGCCGACUAGCGUUUUCUCAGUUACGGCACCGUUCUUAGCGCCCAGUGUGACGUUUCCCAUUCGCCAGGUCCUUAUGUUCUCUGUGCUGUCACUUUCUUGGUUCUCGCACCGCUAGUAUCUGCUAAAGAACUUCCUAAACCAUGUUUUACUGUGCAGAACGGUGAUUGCACGGAGCCGCUGUACGCACUAGUAAUUUCAUAGCACCGUUAGCUGGCGCUUUUUCUGUCACAACACAUUAAAACGGGUUAAAAUACUGCAAGCGGAUUAAACACAUUAAGAGGAUUAAAACAUUAAAAUGUCUCAACACAUUUUUCUGACACAACACAUUUAAACGGAGUGGGUUCAUUCCUCCGAAGAGGAUGUUUAGGCGUGGAAGCACCGCUGUUUCCCAAGAGCACGGUUUCUCUCUGGCAGCACCACUUAUGGCACCAAAACAGGGCUUUGACUCCUGAGUCUAAAAAGGUCACUAACUCCCGCUAAAUUGAGAGCAAUUGAAGCCUCAUCUUCAGAUCUAGGAGAAGAUGAAAAUCAGAAUAAGCUGCAGUCAUGAGACAUGGCGCCAGAAAUUAAGACUAUUCAAACCCUCUAGUCCCAGGGACUAUUGAAGAAGAAGUGGGUGUGUAAGCUUAUAAGGUCUAGAUCUGUCACCCAGGCUGGAGUACAGUGGCAUAGUCCUAGCUCACUGCAACCUCCACCUCCCAGGCUCAAGUGAUCCUACCACCUCAGCCUCCUAAGAAGCUGGGACUAUAGAUGUGCACCAACACGCAUGGCUAAUUUUUGUAUUUUUUGUAGACACCGUGUUUCGCCAUGUUGCCCAGGCUGGUCUCAAACUCCUGAGCUCAAGCAGUCUGCCUGCCUAGACCGCCCAAAGUGCUGAGUUUACAGGUGCGAGCCACCACAGCCAGCCUAUAAAGUAAACGUGAAUAUCUAAGGAACACUGAUGCAAGACCAGCAUGUGGGACCCCAUGUAAGAUUAACAAUGUUUUCAUGGAUCAUUAACCCAUUCUUAUUAAAAAAAUUAUGAAAGAUUAUGAAAA
rnacentral:lncRNA from 1 species